AACGAACGCUGGCGGCAUGCCUAACACAUGCAAGUCGAACGAGACCUUCGGGUCUAGUGGCGCACGGGUGCGUAACACGUGGGAAUCUGCCCUUUGCUUCGGAAUAACAGUUAGAAAUGACUGCUAAUACCGGAUGAUGUCGAAAGACCAAAGAUUUAUCGGCAAAGGAUGAGCCCGCGUAGGAUUAGGUAGUUGGUGGGGUAAAGGCCUACCAAGCCGACGAUCCUUAGCUGGUCUGAGAGGAUGAUCAGCCACACUGGGACUGAGACACGGCCCAGACUCCUACGGGAAGCAGCAGUGGGGAAUAUUGGGCAAUGGGCGAAAGCCUGAUCCAGCAAUGCCGCGUGAGUGAUGAAGGCCUUAGGGUUGUAAAGCUCUUUUACCAGGGAUGAUAAUGACAGUACCUGGAGAAUAAGCUCCGGCUAACUCCGUG
rnacentral:rRNA from 1 species